UACGGGAGGCAGCAGUGGGGAAUAUUGCACAAUGGGCGCAAGCCUGAUGCAGCCAUGCCGCGUGUAUGAAAAAGGCCUUCGGGUUGUAAAGUACUUUCAGUCGUGAGGAAGGUGUUAAGGUUAAUAACCUUAGCAAUUGACGUUAGCGACAGAAGAAGCACCGGCUAACUCCGUGCCAGCAGCCGCGGUAAUACGGAGGGUGCGAGCGUUAAUCGGAAUUACUGGGCGUAAAGGGCACGCAGGCGGUUAAUUAAGUUGGAUGUGAAAUCCCCGGGCUUAGCCUGGGAAUGGCAUUCAAGACUGGUUAGCUAGAGUCUUGUAGAGGGGGUAGAAUUCCAUGUGUAGCGGUGAAAUGCGUAGAGAUGUGGGGGAAUACCGGUGGCGAAGGCGGCCCCCUGGACAAAGACUGACGCUCAUGUGCGAAAGCGUGGGGAGCAAACAGGGAUUAGAUACC
rnacentral:rRNA from 1 species